AGUGGUAGUUCUCAAAGAGGCUGAGAGGGAAGACCCUGCUCCCUCAUGGAGGUAAGAGCCAUUGACUUCUUUGGGCAUAUGGGUUUCUUGGGGGAGAAAUGGGAUCCCUGCUGCAUAGCCUGACUGGGAGCUUCCCCCAUCCCUGGGACAGAGACAUCUCCAUCAAUGUGCCACCCUUGUUUUUUUCCUAGCAAGAGGCUCCCCAGAGAACUCCUACUCAAACCUGUUCUCCUGGGAGCGUUUCUGGGAGGAGGCUCCCAUCCCUCAGUCUCCAACUCCAUCAUGCAGUCUCUUUCACCUAACAUCUCCGCUCUCCAGCCCCACUUCCCGCAGCAGGACAAACGGACCUUCAGCUCCUAGAGAACAGACUCUGACCUCCUCCUGAUCAGCAAUGGGGUUUCACCAUCCUCUCAGCAAACCUGUCAGCCGGGCUGGACCAGAUUUGAAGGAGGAGGGUAUCUAACAGGGUGGCUUGGCCUGUGGCUGCCAAGCCUGGGGCUAGGCCAAGUUGAUGACCAAGUGAGCCCCACCUGAGAGGAAACGAGGGGAAACAGCAGCAAAAGUACAGAAGCAGACCGAGCUGCUCAGUAGACGGCCUCUGGCCAAAACCUGGAGUCCAGGGUAGGACUGGGUUCUCUCACCGACCCUAAGGAAGGGGACAUAGAAGACCAUAGAAACCCAAGAAGGGCAGGCCAAGCCGAAAUCAGGCCGAGGAAGAGCUCCCCACAAGGGUGGAAGGCCUUGUUUCUGUUCAAGACAUUUUUGGACUUUGUUUGGAAGGAGCACGACCCAGGAAGGAGUGGACUAGAGGACAGUCACCUGGUUGGGGGGCUGAGUUCCCAGCCAACAAACUGCAAGCGUGAGUAUCAGCGGGGUUGCUAGCCCAGCGAGAAAGCGGUGACACGAGGCCUGGCCAGCAUCUAGCGACCCUCUGUUCUCCUUCUGGGCUGCCUGGACCCUGACUGUAACAUCUCUCUGGCCCAGCCUCUUACCCAGAUGUGUGCUGCAGCCAGCCCAGCGCAGGGAGCAGUGGAGACAGACGAUCUCAUCCUGUCAGACCAAGAAACAGGGGUCCCAAUAAGGCUUAGAUGGAAGAUCCCAGGCAUCUCCUGGAGAGGAUGCGUCUGGGACCCUGGAGACUGUUUCGUGCAGGAGGUUUGAGCGGGGAGAGAUCAGUCACUGUCAUGACCCCCGGGUCAUUAACCCGGGUCUCCAGGGUUCCUGGGAGCAGCCACCCUCCAGCACGCCACCUGGAAGCCUACGAAAAACUGCUUACCUAGGACUGACGAAGUCCAGACCCAGUUUGAGGCUCCAUCCCUGAGGACCUAUUGGCAGAGUCCCAGAACAGCUAAUCGGCCCCCGGGACCUCCUUAAACCAGCAGCAGGAACAAGGAGCUGUCUGAACACCCGAGCUCCUCCCCGGCUCUGGACCGUGUGUUGGCUGUUCCUGCUCCCGCUCCCCAGGCUUGAUUUCCUGGCAUGCGGACUCGGGGUGACUCAUCUGACUUGAGAUGCUGAACACAAUUUGGUCUUUUGCUUCUCCUCUUCCAGCGUCCUGACCCAGCUGACUCUCGACUCCUGCCUUGUGAGUGUGGACUCCGCCUCUGACCACUAGGUCUGGCUGCCCAUGACCCAGCCAUGAUUCUGACUUUUCGACAAUUCCUCCAGUGCCCUUUUCUGCUCUCCAGCUCUGCUCUCCCAGCAAGACACACCGAUCCCUUGGCUCCCAGAGUCCUGCUUGCCUGCUAUUCAAGGGCUCAGGGGGAGAGCUUAUCUUGCCCCCUCCCGCACCAACGGCUGCUUUUCCUCGGGGACUCUCCCUAGCGCAGAGGAGAAUCCGUCCUGGCAGCAAUUCAGGAAGUCACGGAAGGGACGGUCUGCUCAGCUCCCUCUGCAAUGCCACUGCCCGAGACCAUUACGAGUGGGUGCCCAGUGACUGCGCCGGCAGCUCCUUGAGAGACUCCUGGGGCAGGGUAGUCGUGUUUCCCGGUGACUGCGGGAAGCCAUGCAAAGGGUGCGGCAUUGAGGAGACUCUCCUGCUGUCCCAAAGGGUUUCUGUUCUCCUGCACGGUCAGACCGUGGGGCCGGCUGGCAGAAUGGGGAAGAGCUGGUUGGUGAUGAGUCGGAGGAUUCACCAUAGAGGUGGCAGCAGCUGCAGAUCCUGGAGUCCCUGUGGUCGGGUUACCAUGCGUCCGGAUUUUCCCGGACAUGUCCGGCUUUUGGGGUUUUCAAUCGCCCUCCGGGAGGAAUUUGUAAAACUCUCCAAAGGGCCGGGAUUUCCCUCCCAAUGCAGCACUCUGGGGGCGGGGCGGGGGGAGCUGCGCGCUCUGCGGGGGAGCA